AUUGAACGCUGGCGGCAGGCCUAACACAUGCAAGUCGAACGGUAACAGGAAACAGCUUGCUGUUUCGCUGACGAGUGGCGGACGGGUGAGUAAUGUCUGGGAAACUGCCUGAUGGAGGGGGAUAACUACUGGAAACGGUAGCUAAUACCGCAUAACGUCGCAAGACCAAAGAGGGGGACCCUCGGGCCUCUUGCCAUCGGAUGUGCCCAGAUGGGAUUAGCUUGUUGGUGGGGUAACGGCUCACCAAGGCGACGAUCCCUAGCUGGUCUGAGAGGAUGACCAGCCACACUGGAACUGAGACACGGUCCAGACUCCUACGGGAGGCAGCAGUGGGGAAUAUUAGCACAAUGGGCGCAAGCCUGAUGCAGCCAUGCCGCGUGUAUGAAGAAGGCC
rnacentral:rRNA from 1 species